rnacentral:lncRNA from 1 species
UGCUUUUCUACUUUGUACCAGGCUUUGGCGUCUCCAAGUACCUGACCUCAGCUCAACCUGUCUUGGGUUUUCUUCUCCUCCCUGACAUUGACAGCUUUGGCGUCUCCAAGUACCUGACCUCAGCUCAACCUGUCUUGGGUUUUCUUCUCCUCCCUGACAUUGACAACCCAGCCCUCCUAGGCACAGAGAGAUGGAGCUGAGUGUGGUUUUCCUGAAAUAAAGCUUGCAUUA